UGGCGGCAGGCUUAACACAUGCAAGUCGAACGCGUGUAGCAAUACACGAGUGGCGCACGGGUGAGUAACGCGUGGAUAUCUGCCUUUUGGUUCGGAAUAACCCGGGAAACUGGGGCUAAUACCGGAUGGUUCCUUCGGGAUACAGAUUUAUCGCCAAAAGAUGAGUCCGCGUACGAUUAGCUAGUUGGUGAGGUAAAGGCUCACCAAGGCGACGAUCCGUAGCUGGUCUGAGAGGACGACCAGCCACACUGGAACUGAGACACGGUCCAGACUCC
rnacentral:rRNA from 1 species